rnacentral:rRNA from 1 species
UAGGGAAUCUUCCGCAAUGGACGCAAGUCUGACGGAGCAACGCCGCGUGAGUGAAGAAGGAUUUCGGUUCGUAAAACUCUGUUGUUAGAGAAGAACAGCGCAUAGAGUAACUGUUAUGCGUGUGACGGUAUCUAACCAGAAAGGGACGGCUAACUACGUGCCAGCAGCCGCGGUAAUACGUAGGUCCCGAGCGUUGUCCGGAUUUAUUGGGCGUAAAGCGAGCGCAGGCGGUUAGAUAAGUCUGAAGUUAAAGGCAGUGGCUCAACCAUUGUAGGCUUUGGAAACUGUUUAACUUGAGUGCAGAAGGGGAGAGUGGAAUUCCAUGUGUAACGGUGAAAUGCGUAGAUAUAUGGAGGAACACCGGUGGCGAAAGCGGCUCUCUGGUCUGUAACUGACGCUGAGGCUCGAAAGCGUGGGGAGCGAACAGG